UAAAUUUUAUCGAAUGCGGAUUCAUGAUAUUAAAAUGAUUAAAUCGAGCCCAAUCAACAAGCAAGCAAUGUAUGAGUGUAGGUGCAAGAGAGCGGUUUCAUGGUAAGAAGGCCCAACAGUAAGCCAUGUGAAGAAAAAUAACAAACACAUAAGUUAUAUUUACAACAUAAUCAAAGAUUAAAUCGAGAGAAGUAAAAUCGGGACAUGCACAGAUUAAAAUCGGGAUGCGAGGAUGUGAGUCAAAGUCACGUAACGCAAGAACGUGC
rnacentral:lncRNA from 1 species